CAAAACUCAAAAACUUAGUCUCAGUUCGGAUUGUAGGCUGAAACUCGCCUACAUGAAGCUGGAGUUGCUAGUAAUCGCGAAUCAGCAUGUUGCGGUGAAUACGUCCCCGGGCCUUGUACACACCGCCCGUCACACCAUGAGAGUUGGCAAUACCCAACGUACGUGAUCUAACCCGCAAGGGAGGAAGCGUCCUAAGGUAGGGUCAGCGAUUGGGGUGAAGUCGUAACAAGGUAAC
rnacentral:rRNA from 1 species